rnacentral:rRNA from 1 species
GGGCCCGCGUUUCAUUAGCUAGUUGGUAGGGUAAUGGCCUACCAAGGCAACGAUGAGUAGCUGGUCUGAGAGGAUGAUCAGCCACACUGGAACUGAAACACGGUCCAGACUCCUACGGGAGGCAGCAGUGGGGAAUAUUGCGCAAUGGGCGAAAGCCUGACGCAGCAACGCCGUGUGAGGGAUGAAGGCUUUCGGGUCGUAAACCUCUGUCGGAAGGGAAGAACGGGCAAUGGUCUAAUAGGCCGUUGUUUUGACGGUACCUUUAGAGGAAGCACCGGCUAACUCCGUGCCAGCAGCCGCGGUAAUACGGAGGGUGCAAGCGUUAUUCGGAAUUACUGGGCGUAAAGCGCACGUAGGCGGCCUUGUAAGUCAGGGGUGAAAUCCCACGGCUCAACCGUGGAACUGCCUUUGAAACUGCAGGGCUUGAAUCCUGGGGAGGGUGGCGGAAUUCCUGGUGUAGGAGUGAAAUCCGUAGAUAUCAGGAGGAACACCGGUGGCGAAGGCGGCCACCUGGACAGGUAUUGACGCUGAGGUGCGAAAGUGUGGGGAGCAAACAGGAUUAGAUACCCUGGUAGUCCACACCGUAAACGAUGGACACUAGGUGUCGGGC